rnacentral:misc_RNA from 1 species
GAUCGCCGUGUGCGAUGAAAGUCGCCCGCAUGGUGAAGGCUCGUUAUAAAACGUAGACAAAGAUAACGUAUAAGACGGGAAU